UAUUUGAUUUAUAAAAUAUGGCGGGAAAAGGCUGACUUGGACUAUUACCUUAUAUUUGCAUUGGUAUUAUUUGGGUCUCAAAUCAAAAGAAAGAAAAUCAAGAAUCUGCUUAAAUUUUGUCAAUUGACCUUUUAUGAGCUAGCCAGUCUUAUGUUAAAAGAUAAAUAGGUAUUAUGGGGCAAAAUAUUUUACCUUGUAUCGUAUGGAAAAACACCAAGGAGUUCGCACAUUUGACACUUUUUUUUUUUUUGUAGUACAUCCUUAAACUAAGUAAUAAUAUCAUUGCUGUUAUUAAAUAUAGUGUUUGCAUAAGGUCAAGAGAAGAUGGUAUCUGUUGGAGAAAUUUGAGUAGAUAAAAGAGAUAAUGAAAGUUUAUUUAACACUAUAAUUUCGUUCCAAGUACAGCAAAAAAUAAUGGUGCA
rnacentral:lncRNA from 1 species